rnacentral:tRNA from 1 species
GGGCUGGUAGCUCAGUUGGUUUAGAGCGCACCCCUGAUAAGGGUGAAGUCGGUGGUUCGAAUCCACUCCGGCCCA